UCAACUAUCAACCGCCGCCAACGAUGCCCUGGCCUCCACCACCGCUGCCACCGCUAGGCCUUCCUUCUAUCUUUCCUCCAUCUGGCGCUACAGGCACUCCUAAUCAAUCGAUUGGGGGUUCAAAUGAGCCUCCGGACGAGCAUUCACCGGCACCGGCAGCGUCGCAGUGGCCACCUAGUUGAUUUAGAGUUGUUUACGAUAUUUGUUCUACAGACUUGUUGUUGUUGGACUAGACUUGUUUAAUUAGUUGGACUUGUGCUUGUUGAACGUUACACUUAUGGCAUCGAUGUUGGACUUAUGCUAUUUGUGAUAUUCGUGCGACGUAGCGUGAGAUAUUUGUGUUA